AAACUGCAAAUUUGAAGAAGCACCCCUAAAGGG
rnacentral:tRNA from 1 species